rnacentral:misc_RNA from 1 species
GAAAUGCGAUAAGUAAUGUGAAUUGCAGAAUUCAGUGAAUCAUCGAAUCUUUGAACGCACAUUGCGCCCCCUGGUAUUCCGGGGGGCACACCUGUUCGAGCGCCAUUUCAACCCUCAAGCCCCGCUUGGUGAUGGGCCCCGCCCGCGGGCGGGCCCGAAACUCGCAGGCGCCUCCGUCCGGCCUCAAGCGUAGCAAAACCCUCGCUUGGGCGCCCGGGCGGCGGCCGCCCCGAAACGAAUCUAUCACAAGGUUGGCCUCGGAUCAGGUGGGGAUACCCGCUGAACUUAA